CAGCCGCCGCGGGAAUACGUAGGGUGCAAGCGUUAAUCGGAAUUACUGGGCGUAAAGCGUGCGCAGGCGGUUAUAUAAGUCAGAUGUGAAAUCCCCGGGCUCAACCUGGGAACUGCAUUUGAGACUGUAUGGCUAGAGUGUGUCAGAGGGGGGUAGAAUUCCACGUGUAGCAGUGAAAUGCGUAGAUAUGUGGAGGAAUACCGAUGGCGAAGGCAGCCCCCUGGGAUAACACUGACGCUCAUGCACGAAAGCGUGGGGAGCAAACAGGAUUAGAUACCCGGGUAGUCCCUGUCUCUUAUAC
rnacentral:rRNA from 1 species